GAGCACAGGGUUGUGGGAGAGCAAUACAAGCGUUGUGCUGCUAGGCGAAGCGGUUGAGUGCCGCACCCUAGAUGGCUAAAGUCCAGUAGCCGAAAGCAUCACUAGCUUACGCUCUGACUCGAGUAGCAUGGGGCUCGAGAUCGGAAGACCG